UACGUAGGUGGCGAGCGUUGUCCGGAAUUAUUGGGCGUAAAGCGCGCGCAGGCGGGAUAUUAAGUCUCAUUUAAAAGUGCGGGGCUCAACCCCGUGAUGGGUGAGAAACUAAUAUUCUUGAGUGCCGGAGAGGAAAGCGGAAUUCCCAGUGUAGCGGUGAAAUGCGUAGAUAUUGGGAGGAACACCAGUGGCGAAGGCGGCUUUCUGGACGGUGUCUGACGCUGAGGCGCGAAAGCCAGGGGAGCGAACGGGAUUAGAUACCCCGGUAGUCCUGGCCGUAAACGAUGGGUACUAGGUGUAGGGGGUAUCGACCCCUCCUGUGCCGGAGUUAACGCAAUAAGUACCCCGCCUGGGGAGUACGGCCGCAAGGUUGAA
rnacentral:rRNA from 1 species